CAGAUGGACAGGCACACAAACACAUCCCCUCGCUUCAUCCUGUCCCUGAGUUGUCGGCCAUCGCUGUCUCUUGUUUCCCCAGCAACGGCAGCCUGCCCUGCCAGACCUUUUUGUUCAGAUGUGGAAUGAACAGUGUUGACAUCUCUACCCAACUGAAUCAAGGGGUGAUCUACAGAAAGAUAGAGUGGUGGCUGCCUCUAUUUAUUUUAUUGGGUUUUCUUUAUUGUCGACAAAUAUUAAGGCACAAUAUAGGGCAAAGAUCACAGCUGCAAAUAGGAAAAAAGACCAUUCACUGCAAACCUAUCUGGAUGUACAGGAAACA